rnacentral:rRNA from 1 species
AUUGAACGCUGGCGGCAGGCCUAACACAUGCAAGUCGAACGAGUGGCGGACGGGUGAGUAAUGUCGGGGAAACUGCCCGAUGGAGGGGGCUAACUACUGGAAACGGUAGCUAAUACCGCAUACCAUCGGAUGUGCCCAGAUGGGAUUAGCUAGUAGGUGGGGUAAUGGCUCACCUAGGCGACGAUCCCUAGCUGGUCUGAGAGGAUGACCAGCAACACUGGAACUAAGACACGGUGCAGACUCCGACGGGAGGCAGUAGUGGGGAAUAUGGCACGAUGGGAGCAAGCCUGAUGCAGCGAUGCGGCGGGUAUGAAGAAGGCCUGCGGGUAGUAAAGUACUUUCAGCGAAGAGGCGUUACCCGAAGAAGAAGCACCGGCUAACGCCGUGCCAGCCGCGGUAAUUC